rnacentral:lncRNA from 1 species
UAUCAGAGCCACCAAAUAGAGAUUUUCGAGAUCUGUGGGGGUUGGUAAUGCCAAUCAAGUCGAGGUGUUAGCAAUCAGGAAGGCGAUUUUCUUAUUCAAUAAAUAUUUGAAGAAGGAAAACGUUGAAAAAGUGGGUUGAAUCAGACUCCCAAAAUGCAGUAUUGUGGAUUAACAAGAAAUCUAAUGCACCUUGGGGAUUUAGACAAUAUAUGAUUCAUAUUGAUUGUCUGCAAAGAUCCAUAGGUGAUUGGUAGAUGACUCAUAUUUUAAGGGAGGCAAAUAGCUUGGCCGAUGGUUUAGCUACAGAAGAAGUUACAAAGGAGCAAGAUUUUAUCCAGAUAUUAGGAUCAAAUAAUUAAUUUUUCCUUUUAUCUGUUGCAGUAAUUCGGAUGGAAUUGAGCUGAUAAUUUAUUCUAGUUUAAUCAAAUAUGAGUUGAUGAGAUAGUAUUUAAGAUGGACUCUUGCAGCAGCUACAUAAAUUUAAAUAAAAGAGAAGUCCUAAGCCGAGUAGAUAUCUUAGGAGAUUAUUUUGGUGAUUUGUCUCAUUAAUUCACCGGUUGACUAGACUAGAAUUCGGAUAGUAGUUGUGGUUUGGACAGCUUUGUCAAGGUCUAGACAGAUUUAUAUACUACGCUAAUUAUGGGUUGGACAGCACAUUGGUUCAGAUUGUCAACGUAGUGAGCUGGUCGUUCAUUUCAUUUGGUUCUAAGACCAGAUUUUAUUGUGUGAGCACCCGGAUAUCUCCAAGUCCGGAUUUAGUGUCUAGGGGUUUUUUUUGUUAUUUUUAUUUCAUUGUAAUCUAAAGUCCAAAAUUUAUCUAUUUUGGCAAUUAAUAAUAAAAUUAUAUUUUUUUACAAAAAACAA